rnacentral:rRNA from 1 species
AACGAACGCUGGCGGCGUGCUUAACACAUGCAAGUCUGACGGGAAUGUCGGCUUCGGCUGACUAGUACCGUGGCGAACGGGUGAGUAACACGUGGGUAAUCUGCCCUUGAGUUCGGGAUAACCUUGCGAAAGCGGGGCUAAUACCGGAUAAGACCACGCCCUGCAUGCAGGGUGCGGUAAAAGGUGGCCUCUUCUUGAAAGCUAUCACUCGAGGAUGAGCCCGCGGCCUAUUAGCUAGUUGGUAGGGUAAUGGCCUACCAAGGCGACGAUGGGUAGCCGGCCUGAGAGGGUGUACGGCCACACUGGCACUGAGACACGGGCCAGACUCCUACGGGAGGCAGCAGUGGGGAAUUUUGCGCAAUGGGGGAAACCCUGACGCAGCAACGCCGCGUGAGUGAUGAAGGCCUUCGGGUUGUAAAGCUCUUUUAGUGGGGAAGAAGCCCUCCCUGGCUAAUAUCCAGGGGGUCUGACGGUACCCACAGAAAAAGUUCCGGCUAACUACGUGCCAGCAGCCGCGGUAAUACGUAGGGAGCAAGCGUUGUUCGGAAUUAUUGGGCGUAAAGAGCGCGUAGGCGGUUUGGUAAGUCUGGUGUGAAAUCCCGGAGCUUAACUCCGGAACUGCAUUGGAUACUGCCAGGCUU